UCUCAAGACUAAAGCACAUAUUCACCCUUCCUAUUCUUUGUCGGCAACGAGGGCUAGAGAAACAGAAAGAACUUGGUUGCAAAUCCAAAUUCAUACAGCAGAUUUUUCAUGAGAUGUAUUGGGUAAUUGGGUUUUUCCUUCAAGUUUUGAGAGACCAGAAAUUCGAAAGAGGAAUGAAGGAAAACUUAAGAAAGAGGAGCGAACAGGAAACAAAUUUGAGGCCGUGCAAUUUACUCAAGUUACAAGAAGAGGAAAGAAUUUGAUGCAGCGAUUUGUUGGCUGAUUCGGCGAUUGGAGAUCUCCUUCUUGGGCAAGGAAGCUGGCCUUAUAAAAGAGAGGAAGUCCAGCAAUUUGGAAGGACGGAUUACAACUAUUUGGGCGUGACUGCAGCAGAGAGGAGUAGGGAGUACCGUAUAUAUCCAAAAUUCACAACAAUACCCGCAUUCGAGAAUCAUUAAGUCGUGCUUCAAUUCUGAUCAGCGAUUCGCCCCUUUUCUCCCGUCGAUCCAUUAGUCUAUGCCGACAAUUGGAAUGGACCUUUUGGGGAAGAUGUGGCCUGUUCUUGGGAGCAGGGAUAACUAAUUGCUUGGAAGGGGUAGGUUCGGCAAUCGUCGUGCCUUUCCCCUUCCUUUGCCUAUUGGGAGUGCAUACACUCUAGUGAGACUGAUCGGCCUGAAUUUUCUGGGUUUGCUGCUGAUUGAGUUACUUCUGAGUUUCAUCCACUUUGGAUGAAAGGAUCUUGUUGUGUUCUUGCAUCUUCACCAUAUCCUGUUGUAACAUCGGGAUUUGAGCCAGGAGCUCAACUUCGGUAGUUGUUUGUAGUGUAGCGGGACCUACACUUGUGCGAGGGGGCAUUGCUGGACUCGCCCAACCCUGUUUGUCAAAUGGUGACUCAUCAAACGGUAGGAAUAGCGAAAUAAAGGAAGUACCCAUCUUGGCUAGGUAAAUAUUGUGGAUUGAUUAAUGAUGAUUCCCACAUACGACAUCAAACUGUUGAUGCACAAAAAUGGUCGAACACUUUCAAGCCCAACUUAGUGAUGAUGUCACCUUCGAAUCUGCGCACUCUUCGACAUAGUGGAUGAUCUGCGAAACAAAGAAUGGACAGUGAGACCUUGG